AGUGAACGCUGGCGGUAGGCCUAACACAUGCAAGUCGAACGGCAGCACAGUAAGAGCUUGCUCUUACGGGUGGCGAGUGGCGGACGGGUGAGGAAUACAUCGGAAUCUACUUUUUCGUGGGGGAUAACGUAGGGAAACUUACGCUAAUACCGCAUACGACCUACGGGUGAAAGCAGGGGAUCUUCGGACCUUGCGCGAUUGAAUGAGCCGAUGUCGGAUUAGCUAGUUGGCGGGGUAAAGGCCCACCAAGGCGACGAUCCGUAGCUGGUCUGAGAGGAUGAUCAGCCUCACUGGAACUGAGACACGGUCCAGACUCCUACGGGAGGCAGCAGUGGUGAAUAUUGGACAAUGGGCGCAAGCCUGAUCCAGCCAUACCGCGUGGGUGAAGAAGGCCUUCGGGUUGUAAAGCCCUUUUGUUGGGAAAGAAAAGCAGCAGGUUAAUACCCCGCUGUUCUGACGGUACCCAAAGAAUAAGCACCGGCUAACUUCGUG
rnacentral:rRNA from 1 species